GAUGAAGAACGCAGCGAAAUGCGAUAAGUAAUGUGAAUUGCAGAAUUCAGUGAAUCAUCGAAUCUUUGAACGCACAUUGCGCCCUUUGGUAUUCCUUAGGGCAUGCCUGUUCGAGCGUCAUUUGAAACCUCAAGCUCAGCUUGGUGUUGGGUGUCUGUCCCCGCCUCACCGCGGGGACUCGCCUCAAAAUCAUUGGCGGCCGGUACGUUGGCUUCGAGCGCAGCAGAAACGCGAACUCGAGGCCCGGCGGAUCGGCGACCAGAAGUCACUUCUUCACAGUUUGACCUCGGAUCAGGUAGGGAUACCCGCUGAACUUAAGCAUAUCAAUAAGCGGAGGA
rnacentral:misc_RNA from 1 species